rnacentral:lncRNA from 1 species
UGGAGCACUUUGACCAUAAGGGAUGUGCGUGGGAUGGGCCUGAGUAGCAUCAGCCUCGGUGGAAACAUGGCUAUUUCAAGAUGCAGGAUGAGCCAGGCACCAGUUAGAGCCCCUGGGGUGCUAUAAAGGAUGAACAAAAAAUCGUCUCAGUGGAUUUGACUCGAUGCAGAGAAUUGCAUUUUGAAAGUUAAACAUCCUUUGAGGUGGAUGCAGUAGCAACACCCGAGCACAGAUUUAAUCAGGGUACCACUGGCAGCCCCGACGCAGACUGAGUCCCAGUUCAAAAACCCACGCGACUCCGCACAGAGCACCCCAGUUCGAACGCGUGGACAUCCUCUGGUUUACCUCCAGACCAGAAAAAGCAGUGCCUAUCAUUUCUCCCUGCCGUGGGAGAGGCUGCAAACAGCCUUUGCACAGCCAGAGUGCUUGGUGAGUCCUCUCUGGACAUGGGUCCUGUGGCUCUCAGCGUGGGGGUGCCACCACGGGGGUGGGUCUGGAAGCCUGGCUCCCCACUGCACUGAUUUACCACCACCCUGCUCUCAAAUGCACCCAGGCGCCUGUGGGAGAGGGGAG